rnacentral:rRNA from 1 species
UUGAAAGGGAAACGAUUGAAGUCAGUCAUGCCGGUGGGAAUCAACUUAGGGGAAACUCUGGGUGCACUUCUUCGCUUGGCAGGUCAACGUCGAUUUUGAAUGUCAUAAAAUAAUUGGGGGAAGGUAGCUCCUUCGAGAGUGUUAUAGCCCUUGAUAGAUGUGAUGUUUGAGGUCGAGGAUUGCAACGGAUACCCUUUGGGGCUAGCUGCCUGAUCUCUAAUUGGUGUUGGGUUACGGAUAGCAUGCUGACCGUGAUCUAAUUACUGGUUAAAAGGUUAGAGCGUGCAUAAAUUCGUUAAGGAUGUUGACGUA